GAUGAAGAACGUAGCGAAAUGCGAUAAGUAGUGUGAAUUGCAGAAUUCAGUGAAUCAUCGAAUCUUUGAACGCACGUUGCGCCCCUUGGUAUUCCAUGGGGCAUGCCUGUUCGAGCGUCAUUUGUACCUUCAAGCUUUGCUUGGUGUUGGGUGUUUGUCUCGCCUUUGCGUGUAGACUCGCCUUAAAAUAAUUGGCAGCCGGCGUAUUGAUUUCGGAGCGCAGUACAUCUCGCGCUUUGCACUCAUAACGACAGCGUCCAAAAGUACAUUUUACACUCUUGACCUCGGAUCAGGUAGGGAUACCCGCUGAACUUAAGCAUAUCAAUAAGCGGAGGA
rnacentral:misc_RNA from 1 species